rnacentral:rRNA from 1 species
AAGCGCUCAUGACCAGACUUGGGCCCGGUGAAUCAUCCAGCGUUCUCGCUGGUGCACUUUGCCGGGCACAGGCCAGCAUCAGUUUGCCGCGGGGGAUAAAGGCUUCGGGAACGUGGCUCCCUCGGGAGUGUUAUAGCCCGUUGCACAAUACCCUGGGGCGGACUGAGGUUCGCGCAUCUGCUAGGAUGCUGGCGUAAUGGUCAUCAGCGA